CCUCUGUGGAAGAUACAGAAGAAGAGAGAAGAAGAGUUGAGGAACAGGGAAUUUGAUAAAGAUUGGUAAUUAAGCAGAAUAACAACGCGCCAACAAGCAACUAAGCCAAGUGAGGGAAACAAGAAAAAGGAAAAGGGAGAAGGGAACGCAGCCACUUCUAUGUUAAUUAACUAAAAGGCCAAAAGAAAAGAAGGCGAAGUGAAGCUCAUAUCGCUGCGAUGGGCCAAAAACAGUAGCUUGUUAGCCAAGAAUGCCGCUCAUAUCCAGCGGAUACGUUUUGUAUCUCGUUUGACAGACGCCGCCGAUAAAGAUAGAAGAGCAGAAAGCAGAGCUAAAGUUGUUGCCGAGUGUUGAAAUCGAAAGGAGAGCAAAAACUUGUGUGCGCCUUAAUUGGAUGAAAAUUGUUGAAAUAUUUAAAGCACAAGCGGACAAUGGUAAAAAGACUGAAGAAGAUGCUUUUAUUAUCCUUUUGUGUUGCACAGCACAGACAACAGCAACAACAACAACAAGAACUUGAGCACACAUAACUCAAAAAUGUUGUAUGCGUGUUUUGGGGAAGAAAUCCUUUUCUGGUCCAGCCUAAUCAAAAUGCCUCAUGUGGCAGCGUAUCGCCUGAAACUUGAGAAGACCUCAAGAGGGAGAUAGAGUGCGAGAGAGGAAGAGAGAGAGUGAGAGAUCCCAAGAGCCUCUUCUUCGUUGCUGUUUAUGCAAAAAUGAAAUACAAAUUUGAAAUUUGAACUUUUUUCGAUCUUGUGCUUGCUCUUUUUUAUUUUAUUUUUUUUAAUUAAAAGUCUCGCAGCGCUUGCAGCUGCAACGACGCGAUGAGGCACGCAAAAAUCGAAGCACGCAGAGGGAAAGAAAACAGAAUAUAAAAGAAAAGGCUGCAAUUCAAUUAAAAUGCGGGUGAGCAGCAACAGCAGCAGACAGUGGCCAAGAUUAGGCGUACAACGGGGCGUGGCUGGGUCGAGGCACAAAUUGAAGCCGGACAGACGUCUGGACGAUGGAAUGGGAAAGCUCCCCGAUUUUCAAUUUGAUUUCUUAUAUAUAUUCGUACGUAUUUUUUUGGGCAG